ensembl:lncRNA
CUACGGGGGCCCGGAGGGGCCGCCCGCCCCCCCGUCCCGGAGGCUCGCGCGGAGACCGCAGCCCUCGCCUGGAGCCGCCUCAGAUAACGCUGUUCAGAUCCUCCGACGGUGUAAAAGGCCUGUGGAGGUUUGUUAACGUGGAGACCAGAGAAGGUUUUUUCACAUAUUGAAGUGACUUUAUGGAUUUAUGUUACGCACCGUUCUAACUUGUCAACUGGACCAGAUCAUAAACCAGUCUUUUCACAAAAACUCUCCAGCCACUUUAUCUCCGACUGGGUGGUCCCCCAUGGUACUGAGCUGUUUGACAGCUUUCGGCAUCAGGCCAGCUGUUGUUUUCAUGUCAGACUGCAUCUUCCCAAGGUGCAGGAUCCUGGGUGCUAUUCCCCUAUGGUUCGUCUGAGUCAUCCGAACAGUCGCACAGAUGCCAAAGCAACCACAAGCACGUUCACGGGGAGAGGAUUUGGGGAUGAAUUAACACAAGAUAACUUUUGUCAUCUGUCAUCCCUCCUCUUUGCGUUGGCUAAUUGCUGCAGUAGGGCCAGAGUUAAUGCCAGAUGUGAAGAUGUUUCAUUCUUACAGAUGUAA